GCCUCGGUCGCAUAAUGGUAUUGCAUCUGCCUUGAGAGCAGAGCCCGUAAGGGCCUCCAGGUUCGAUUCCUGGCCGGGGCG
rnacentral:tRNA from 1 species